GAUGGUACACAUGUACAAAUACAGGCACCUACCACUGAUGAGGCAUCAUAUGUUAACAGGAAAGGGUACCAUAGCAUCAAUGUGCAGGCCGUGUGUGAUGCAGAUGGAAAAUUUACAAAUAUCAACACAUCCUGGCCAGGAAAUGCACACGAUGCACACAUCUUCAGAACUGCACAGGUAUGUACACACAUGGAAAAGGCACCUAACUGGGAAAGUGGCAUCUUA